rnacentral:rRNA from 1 species
AUGUCUCGCACGCACCGAUUCCUACUAGGCAUCGCCUAUGGGCUGGAUCUAGCAGGCCGGCCAAACACUGUAGUUUCUUUUCCUUUUCUUUGGGUUUCUUUUGUUUUAUUUAUUCUUUGGUCGGCUUUCUUUUUUUUAUAUAUUUUACAUAUAUUUUCCUUUCUUCGGCACGUCUCUACUUUUCUCAUGUUCAAUCUACCAUUUUUUGUAUACAUCAUAUACAUUUUUUAUACACGUUUAAUAUUUUUGAACACAUUAACAUUUUUUUUAUACUCCCUCCAUUCCCUUAUACAAGGCAACAAUGAAACAUACAUUUUGCAUCUAUACAAGGCCACUAACAUCAAUUGA